rnacentral:tRNA from 1 species
GGCUGUAUAGCUUGAAGGUAGAGCACUCCUCUAACUAAGGAGAAGAUCCGGGUUCAAGUCCUGGUGCGGUCG